GAUUUCUGGUACGGUGCGCGUGGCCCGCCAUCGAAAGGUGUGCGAGUGUCGCUUGUGCGUCUACCAUCUCUUGUAGCUAGGGUGUCUCUCUCCAGGGGCAUCUGAACUACAUCGUUUACUUUGAAGAAAUUAGAGUGUUCAAAGCGGGCUUGCGCAUGAAUAUAUUAGCAUGGAAUAAUAAUUUAGGACUUUGAUCCUAUUUUGUUGGUUAUAAGGAUUAAAGUAAUGAUUGAUAGGGAUAGUUGGGGGUGCUAGUAUUCACCGGCCAGAGGUGAAAUUCUUGGAUUCGGUGAAGACUAACUUAUGCGAAAGCAUU
rnacentral:rRNA from 1 species